UCUCUCUCUCUCUCUCUCUCACCCCCAGACAAAGAAACACAAAGGUAACACUUCCUUUGAAUUUAGCUGUAGCAUCACAUAUACCAAAGAAAAUCUUUCUUUCAGAUGCACUCAGUUCAGCAAUUGUGAUUAUGGCUUAAUCCAAUAAGUCACUCCCUUUUCAAUUCUCUUUAUGUUUAGAUCUCUUUAGCACCAUUUAUUGACAAUUAUAAUAAGAUCCAAGACUAAGGAUCUAAUUAAGCACAAGUUUCUCUAAUGUAGCCAUUAGAACUGGAAUGACACAGCACAAACUUCUGGAAGCUUAAGCUUAUUGGAAGAGUUUGGGUUUUGUUAAUAUAUUGAUAUACAAGAUGAAAGUUUCAGUGUCUAUCCUGCUUUUCCAAUGUGUAAGAUUGAAAAUUAGAUUUACACUUAAUAAAGUUUCAGUAUAUGAAUUUGCAGCAAUUUCACUCUCAAGUAAGCUAAUACACAGACAGCAUUGGAAUUCAAGGACUGUGUGGCAAAUUGUCUUUCCUAGGUUGACACACUAUUCACGGAUGACAUAGCAUCAUCCACAUACUAAAGAAACUGUUUCUUUCAGACCCACUCACUUCAUCAAUUCUGGUUACAGCCUAAUCCAAGUUAAGGCUACUCACUUUUCAAUUCUCUUUUUCUCAUUAGAUCUAUUUACCAUAUAUUGACAAUUUUAGCAAAAUCCAAGCCACGGGAUCUAAUUAGUACAAGUUUCUCUAAUCUAGUGGAGGCAAUGGAACUGGAAUGACAGGAUGAGAAACAGCACCAACUUCUGGAAGCAUUAUCCAUAAGAUAAUUUCAGUGUCUACCCAGCUUUUGAAAUAAGCAAGAUUGAAAAUUAAAUUUAUACUUCACAAAAUUUCAGUUCAUGAAUUCGCAGCAAUUUCAUUCUCAAUAACUAUAGACAGCACAGGAAUUCGAUGACUGUGAUGGAAAACUGUAUAUCCUAGGUUGAAAGGUUAUUCAUAAGUAAGCAUGACUAUCAGUGGGUGAUAUUCAAAAUUUCUACUUGACCCUUCCUUUCUGUUACAUUUGCAAGCUAAACUAUAGCUCUAAUAGUCCAGCUGGACCUGAAUGGUUGAACUUCAACAAACAAACUGUUUAAUUCAUCCAUUUAUUUAUUUCAUUUGUUAAUUGAAAUUCGGAUUUGGGUUUGAAAAUAAAAAUCAUAAAACAUCAAAAUUAUCUCAAAUUCAAAAUAGUUCGACAUUUCAAACCCUAAUUUAUCGAAAGGGACUAUGGUAAGAUACAUAAAAAUUAUUAAAGAGAAUCAAUUUGAAAAAUAAAAA
rnacentral:misc_RNA from 1 species